UACGAAGGGGGCAAGCGUUGUUCGGAAUUACUGGGCGUAAAGCGCGCGCAGGCGGUUUCUCAAGUCAGUGGUGAAAGCCCGGAGCUCAACUCCGGAACUGCCCAUUGAAACUGUGAAACUUGAGGACGAGAGAGGUGAGUGGAAUUCCCAGUGUAGAGGUGAAAUUCGUAGAUAUUGGGAAGAACACCGGUGGCGAAGGCGGCUCACUGGACCGGAACUGGACGCUGAGGCGCGAAAGCGUGGGGAGCAAACGGG
rnacentral:rRNA from 1 species